rnacentral:rRNA from 1 species
AACGAACGCUGGCGGCAUGCCUAACACAUGCAAGUCGAACGAAGGCUUCGGCCUUAGUGGCGCACGGGUGCGUAACGCGUGGGAAUCUGCCCCUCGGUUCGGAAUAACAGUUAGAAAUGACUGCUAAUACCGGAUGAUGACUUCGGUCCAAAGAUUUAUCGCCGAGGGAUGAGCCCGCGUAAGAUUAGGUAGUUGGUGGGGUAAAGGCCUACCAAGCCGACGAUCUUUAGCUGGUCUGAGAGGAUGAUCAGCCACGCUGGGACUGAGACACGGCCCAGACUCCUACGGGAGGCAGCAGUGGGGAAUAUUGGACAAUGGGCGAAAGCCUGAUCCAGCAAUGCCGCGUGAGUGAUGAAGGCCUUAGGGUUGUAAAGCUCUUUUACCAGGGAUGAUAAUGACAGUACCUGCAGAAAAAGCACCGGCUAACUACGUGCCAGCCGCCGCCGUAA